rnacentral:rRNA from 1 species
CGCAACCCUUGUCCUUAGUUACCAGCACGUUAUGGUGGGCACUCUAAGGAGACUGCCGGUGACAAACCGGAGGAAGGUGGGGAGUGACGUCAAGUCAUCAUGGCCCUUACGGCCUGGGCUACACACGUGCUACAAUGGUCGGUACAAAGGGUUGCCAAGCCGCGAGGUGGAGCUAAUCCCAUAAAACCGAUCGUAGUCCGGAUCGCAGUCUGCAACUCGACUGCGUGAAGUCGGAAUCGCUAGUAAUCGUGAAUCAGAAUGUCACGGUGAAUACGUUCCCGGGCCUU